AUAUUAAUCAAAAACUAAUACUCAUGCAAACAACUACUUUUACAUGAUUCUUUAUUCACUAACUAUUGUCAAUAAAAAUAAAAUAAAAUUAAAAAUCAUUCAUUCUUUCAUGUUUACGGAACCAUCACCAAUCAAGUGAUCAAUCUUUCCUUCAGGGUGCUCGAAAAAGUCUGCUACAUCCAAACCUGUGAUGUCAACAUUAUUUUCAGAGAGAAAGUUAGCCUCGAGAUUUCUCUCUUUCUUCUUUAGUGAUGCUUGAUAAAGAUCAACCAAGUGCUUGAGAGCAUGACAAUCACGUGAAUAGUGUCCUUUUC
rnacentral:lncRNA from 1 species